rnacentral:rRNA from 1 species
GUGCCAGCCGCCGCGGUAAAACGUAGGAGGCGAGCGUUAUCCGGAUUUACUGGGUGUAAAGCGCGUGCAGGCGGAUCGGAAAGUUGGAUGUGAAAGCUCCCGGCUUAACUGGGAGAGGUCGUCCAAAACUACCUGUCUUGAGUAUAGUAGAGGGAAGUGGAAUUUCGGGUGUAGUGGUGAAAUGCGUAGAUAUCUGUAGGAACACCAGAGGCGAAAGAGACUUUCUGGAC